rnacentral:lncRNA from 10 species
GCAGCUUCGGCGGUCAACGCGCUUUAUUCCGAGGGGCUUCAGAUACAGAUGACCCCAGCCCUGCAUCCGCCCGGAAGGCGUCCCCUUACUCCCAUGGGGCACCUCGAUACCAGCUGCCCUGCCCUGACUCACUUCUCAGCACCCAUCUUACGGCAGUCGGCCCUGGCCUCAGACCCUUGGGUUCAGAUCCCAGGCCCUCCUCCUACUCACUGUGAGACCCUAGGCGAGUCCCUUAGCUCGGGAGCCUAAUUCCGCUUCAUUAACAUGGGGGUAAUUUAACUACCUAGCUAGACGGUUGCAAAGGGAUCAGUUCACUAAUUCUCAAUGUUGGCAGUGCAUCACAUUGCAAACUCCCUGCCUCUGCUCCAGAGCUGAUCAGAAUCAAUAAGGGUGGGGCCUGAAAAUACUACAUCCAAAUUUCCGAGAAGCACAGUGUCUAGCAUACCCCUAUCUCUCCAUCUGGGGUUACUGUCACUCUCAGGAAGAAAUAAUCACCCAUUAUUCCUUCAACCAGGAAAAGAGAUGUCCAGGGCACAGCUUGGGGCCCCAGAAAGUAACCACGGAGGUCAAGAUCACAAACCCGUCAGUGUCCAGGGCAUGGCCUCGCACACAUCCGAGGUUUUCAAGGACCAUGAAGUGCCAUGGCAAGCAUCCUGGCCUGAGGGUUAGGAGAGCUGGAUCUCAGGCUCAACUUUAGCCUGAAUUCGGUGCGUCAUCUUAGACAAAUCUGGUGAGCUCUGAGGGCUGGGGUAAGGUUGAGAAACUGUGGGCUCCUCAGGGUGGGGGGUGCUUAGAGAAGAUGGGGCCUCUGAGUCCUCAGACUGGGGGUCUUCAUCGGGUUCAGCAUCCUCCCCAGGCCCAAGCCCUGCCAGCCUCUUGCUGGCCUCCCAUAGCCGAUGGGCUGCCCGGUCGUCUCGGGCAGCUGGAGGCACCUCUUCCACAUGGCAGUUGGCAAAAUAUCUCCCACUGAGGGGCUCGAUGCCCUCUUGUAGAGCACAAUACAGGGGUGUCUGGGCACCCCCUCUUGGUGCCCGGAGCACCAGCCAAGCCAAUGGGCGCAAAAGUGGGCGCAGCCAUCCAGGAACAUGGCGCAGGAACAGCUCCGAGU